AUGAAUUGCUUGAGCUGGAACUGCCGAGGGCUUGGGAACCCCGAGGCAGUUCGCGAGCUUCGCGGCAUUGUGAAGCAAGAAGCUCCUGCUCUGCUAUUUGUAAUGGAGACUAAAAUCAGGGCCAAAAGAGUUGAAGAUUUGCGUCACCAGCUAGGUUUCGCGGGAUGUUUUGAUGUGGACAGUGAAGGACUAACUGGUGGUAUAGGUCUUUUCUGGUCCAUGGACUAUGAUGUUCAGUUGAAAAAUUACAGUUCUGUCCAUAUUGAUACAAUGGUGCGGAUGAAGGAUCAAAACUCCGUAGAGUGGAGAUUCACGGGUUUCUAUGGAGCACCUAGAACUGAGAAUAGACAUCACAGUUGGCGCUUCUAA
rnacentral:rRNA from 1 species